rnacentral:lncRNA from 10 species
UGUGUUUAUUUCAGUUCUCUAAGUCCUAUCACACAAUAUCAAAGACAUUUCUGGCCCAAGUGAACAGAUAAGCUUUCUAUGAGGUAUGCAGGCACCUCACUUUCAUGAAAGGAGACAGAUAUUUUCUACAGAAAGAGUUACAUAUAUAAUAUAACAUUUUCCAAGGAGCCAUUAUGCGUAAGUCCAUAUACUUCUGUUUGCUUACUAUAAAUAAUUCUAGACAAUUAAGCACAUUCUACUAAAACUUCACAUAGGAAAAGACUCUUUUGUUAGCAGAAGACCUUUAUUGUUAUUGUUGUUGUUUUACUGGGAGAUUUAUCAUUAGUAUGUUUAUAAGAGGAUUAGUUCAACUCACUUGCUUUCUUUAUAUUCCAGGAGCAGCUCAGGGAAGGGAGAGAAUGUAUUGCAGAAAUGCAACUUAACUUUUUCCUUUCCAGAUGGCAUGGAGAUGAUAAAUGUGGACACAUGGACACACACACAGAGAAGCAGCCAUGUGAAGACAGAAGCGGAGAUUGGAGUGAUAUAAGAAAUGCCAAGGAUUGCCAGCAAUCACCAAAAGCAGGGAAGAAAUAAGAAAAGAUUCUUCAAGAGAGCCUUCAGAGAGACCAUGGCCUUGUCAAUACCUGGAUUUUGGACUUCUAAUCUCCAGAACUGUGAGGGAAUAAAUUUCAGUUAUUUUCAGAUACCCAGCUUGUGGUACUUUGUUACAGGAGCUCUAAGAAACUCAUACACUCUUCUAAUGUGGUGUUUACCUUUCUGUGUGGAAUUUAUGUUAAUAUGCCCUUUACUAUAUCUGCAUAUACCAACUUGAUAGCAUUGAACCUUAAUCUAGUUAACAUUCAGCCUUAAUUACUAUAGAUUUAUAUAUCUAUUCUUCUUUUCCUGUUUAUUUCUCAGGCUUUUUUUAGAUUUCACAUUGUAAUCAUUACUGUACAUUUCUGGAAAAAAUCCUUUAAAAUCUUUGAAACUUUCUGUCAUUUUAGAAUGUUAAUGUCAAUUCCUCAAGUUUCUUAGUUUCAGUCUAUUGUAUUAUGAGUAAUUCUAUUACAUUACAAUAUACUAGCUACUUUUACUAGCAAUUUUAGAUAUGCUUUAUGGGCAGGCUACCUUUUUAACUGUUAAAUGAAUUAUGAUCACUGCAAUGUAUUAUCAAAACAUUUUAUUAUGUCUACUUUCUGAUGAAUUUAUUAAUAUUAAUUAUUUUAAACUAUCAGAUUAAAUUAUUGAAGCUGGACAAUAUAAGAUAAAGUAGACAAGACAAGUAAUUUUCAACAAAAGUUUACUUUUUAUUUUUAAUUUAAAAAUACCUUGCUUAGAAAAAAAGAGAUAAGGUUAUUGUGAGAUAUCAGUCAACCAAAUAUUAAUUAAAAGGUGGCAUUAUUAAGAAUAUAUGUCAAAUAUUAGAUGAAAGCAAAAAUAAUCAAAUGAACUCUUACAUAUUCAAGAAAUUAAGGAAGUAUAUAUAACUACAUACAAAUUAAAAUAAAUAGAAAAGUUUAUGGCUAGAUUGAAUCCACGUAAGAGUUCAUUAAUUAACUAUUGUGUUUUAAAGAGUAUAACUUAAAUUGGAAUGCUUUUUCUAAACUAAAACGAUCAUUUCUAUUUUUUAGAUUCAGAAAUUAGCUCAGCUUAAUGAAAUAGACAAAAAAUGGGGAUCUGUGAUGUUUAAUUCUACAUAUCAUUGUGGCUGAGAUCCAGCACCCAGAUAUUUGGUCUAACAUUUGGAAUGUUUCUACGAGGGUGUUUUCUGGAUGAGAUUAACGUUUAAAACAGUGGGCAUUGAGUCAAGUAGAUUGCCCUCCAUAAUAUGAGUGGGUCUCAUCCAAUCAGUUGCAGGGCUUAACAUAACAAGUACUAAUUUCCCCCAACCAAGAAAUUCUGCCAACAGACUGCCUUUGGAUUCAAACAGCAACUCUUUCUCAGCUUGCUGGGCUACUGGCAUAUGUAGAUAGCUCUCUGUAUAUAUAUAGAGGAAGAUACACACACACACUAACACACAUAAACACAUAUCCCCUGUUGGUUCUGUUUUGCUUGAAAAUCCUGACCAACACAGGAUCCUAAAGAUCUUGUAUUUUAUUUCUCAAUUUGACAUAAGGAGGUGGUAAAACCCAAACAUUUAAAUAUUCUGCUUAUAUAGUUACAUUAAGAAAUGAUAAAUAAAAAUGAAGAAAACCUGCGAGUAUAGUGAUUAUUAUAUAAGCUAGGGCUUUGGGUUGCAAAUAAUAGAAAACCAGCCUGGCUAACCUAGACAGAAAAGAUUUGAGAAAGCUCAGAGAAUAUGUAAGAAAGUCUGAAAUAAUCCAAGUUGAGGAAAAUGGAAACACAAUAUAAAACCACAGAUGUCAUUGGAUUAAAAUAUUGUUGCUUGUGCUGUGACCAGACAUUAACCCUGACUUCAUGGUCCUUAGCCUACAAGAAUCUUUGAAUUAAUUCCUUUUCAGAAUACAAAGUCACAUGCCCUUGACCCUCCUCCAAGGCAUGCCAAAUGAAAAUAUGUGACCCGUCUUAAUUUCAGUAAAAAGUGGGAUUGAACAUCUACCAACAUUCAUAUAUGCGGGAUUUUCCCCAAAUAAAGUAAUUGUUGUCUAAAGAAUUAAAAACUCUACAUCGAUUAUCACAAGUAAAAUUGAGUUGUAUUUCCUCUUAAGACAGAGUAACAUGGAGAAGAUAUGCCCUGAAACAGCUAAAAAAUAAACAGAAUAUAGGAAGCAACAAUUUUCAAGACACUAGAUCAGGGAAUGGUCAAUGAUCUCUGAAAAACAAUAAACAAAAGAGGCGAGGCAUAUUGAUAAAACUUGAAAGAACUUUCAAACCACAGCAGAGGGAAGGAGAAUCCAGAUGGAUCCCAUCUGACUCCCUGAGUUCAGAAGACAGAACCCAGAGCCCAGGAAGGCAGAUAGAGCUAGAGCAUGCAAAAGAAAAGUAGAAAGAGGACAGCUGCAUGGAACGAGAACUUUCAAGAUGUGCAGAGAAUUAUCUUUGAGUAUUUCCUGCAUAUUUGUCAGAAUACUGUGAGAAAACUACCAUAUGCCAUGGAAAAUAUUCACUCAAAAGAGAUAGUGCUGGGCUUUCACAAACAGCUGUAAACAUUACCUGUUCCCACCAGCUAGGUUGGAAAAGUUUCUGAUGGAUGAGUCACUGGGUAGAGUUUGGAGAAUAAAGCAAUAAUUAACCCUAAACUGAGGUGUCUUCUGAUCUUCUCUAAUAGAUCUCAAAAGUAAGACUCAGAAGGAGAAAAUUUUAUCCUAUAACUUUAGAAGGAGCUGAUUCCAGCUAUUAGUCUUCAAGUCUGCCAGCUGAAGUUCCAAACAUCAUAGAACAGAGACCAACUGUCUCCUCUGUGCCUCAUCUGAAUCUCCAAAC